UACGUAGGGACCGAGCGUUGUCCGGAAUCAUUGGGCGUAAAGAGCGUGUAGGCGGCUUGUUAAGUCUUGCGUGAAAUCUCGGGGCUCAACCCCGAGCGGUCGUGAGAAACUGGCAGGCUAGAGUGCGGGAGAGGAGAGUGGAAUUCCCGGUGUAGCGGUGAAAUGCGCAGAUAUCGGGAAGAACACCCGUGGCGAAGGCGGCUCUCUGGGACGGUACUGACGCUGAGACGCGAAAGCGUGGGGAGCGAACAGG
rnacentral:rRNA from 1 species